GACGAACGCUGGCGGCGUGCUUAACACAUGCAAGUCGAACGGACAGGCCCUGCUCUUGUGGGUUUGUCGAUUGGCGAACGGGUGUGUGACACGCGAGUAACCUGCACUUGUCUUUGGGAUAACUUCACGAAACUGGGGCGAAUACCGGAGAUGAUCUCCUGCAGCAUGGGGGGGGUUGGUAAGUUUCGGCUGUUGGGGAUGGUCUCGCGGCUUAUCAGCUAGUUGGGAAGGUAACGGCUUACCAAGGCUUCGACGGGUAGCCGACCUGAGAGGGUGAUCGGCCACACUGGAACUGAGACACGGUCCAGACGCCUACGGGAGGCAGCAGUAGGGAAUCUUCCGCAAUGGGCGAAAGCCUGACGGAGCAACGCCGCGUGAGUGAUGAAGGUGUUCGGAUCGUAAAACUCUGUUAUUAGGGAAGAACAAAUGUGUAAGUAACUAUGCACGUCUUGACGGUACCUAAUCAGAAAGCCACGGCUAACUACGU
rnacentral:rRNA from 1 species